GCUACGGGAGGCAGCAGUGAGGAAUAUUGGUCAAUGGACGAGAGUCUGAACCAGCCAAGUAGCGUGAAGGAUGACUGCCCUAUGGGUUGUAAACUUCUUUUAUAAAGGAAUAAAACGAGGCACGUGUGCCUUUUUGCAUGUACUUUAUGAAUAAGGAUCGGAUAACUCCGUGCCAGCAGCCGCGGUAAUACGGAGGAACCGAGCGUUAUCCGGAUUUAUUGGGUUUAAAGGGAGCGUAGAUGGGUUGUUAAGUCAGUUGUGAAAGUUUGCGGCUCAACCGUAAAAUUGCAAUUGAUACUGGCAGUCUUGAGUACAGUUGAGGUAGGCGGAAUUCGUGGUGUAGCGGUGAAAUGCUUAGAUAUCACGAAGAACCCCGAUUGCGAAGGCAGCUUACUAAACUGUGACUGACAUUGAUGCUCGAAAGUGUGGGUAUCAAACAGGAUUAGAUACCCGUGUAGUC
rnacentral:rRNA from 1 species